UUGCAUUUGAACUGUUUCAGUAAAAGGUUUACAGUAACUGAGUAGCUCACUGAAGAGGAAAACAUACUGACCUUACAUUUGCAUCACAGAAAUAACCACACCAGUAGUGAUACCAGGAGCAGAAAUGGGAGUAUCUGAAAUGUUUGGUAAUAUAGUAAUAAUGGCAAUAGUUGACGUAGCAGCAGGACUAGCAGUAGUAAUAGCAGUUGUAAUAAUAUGCUGUUGUCUGAAAAAAAAGAAAAAGUGUUGUUGGAGGCAACCCAUUGGACUGGCAGAGCAACACCCCUUGAAUUAUGUUGAAAACACCAGCGGAUAAAGAUGAAGAUUAACUCAAGGGAACGAGCGACAGAAAGAGAGAGAGAAACAAUGUGACUGUAUUGACCUUCAUCAAUAUAGCAUAAACAUAUUGUUUUAUAUGUUUCUCUGGGUAUAAAGAAUAUGAGGAUUAAUGCACUGCACACGACAUAGAGCAGCAAAAGCUCUUGUAACACCACCCUCCUCUGAAAAGCCAGCUGCCAGUGAAAGCUCAUUUGGAUUUAAAGGACAUACCAAAAAGGUGUCAUUUUUGCUCACACCUAUGAAGAGCCUAUUUUGACAUGCUAUAAUAAAUGAUCUAUGGGGUAUUUUGAGCUAAACCUUUACAUACGGACUAUGGAGACACCAGAGACUUAUUCUACAUCUUGUAAACAGGGGCUUGAAAUGCUCCUUCAAGGUUAUUGUUUUAUAUGAUUUGCAUCUGACUUAAUCUUUCAAAGACUAAGAAGACUUAGUGGGCGUCUGUAGCAGUAU